rnacentral:rRNA from 1 species
GACGAACGCUGGCGGCGCGCCUAACACAUGCAAGUCGAACGAGCGAGAGAGAGCUUGCUUUCUCAAGCGAGUGGCGAACGGGUGAGUAACGCGUGAGGAACCUGCCUCAAAGAGGGGGACAACAGUUGGAAACGACUGCUAAUACCGCAUAAGCCCACGACCCGGCAUCGGGUUGAGGGAAAAGGAGCAAUCCGCUUUGAGAUGGCCUCGCGUCCGAUUAGCUGGUUGGUGAGGUAACGGCCCACCAAGGCGACGAUCCGUAGCUGGUUUGAGAGGACGAACGGCCACAUUGGGACUGAGAUACGGCCCAG